rnacentral:rRNA from 1 species
GACGAACGCUGGCGGCGUGCUUAAUACAUGCAAGUCAACUGAACUUAAGAUAGCAAUAUUUUAAGGGAGGUGGCGCACGGGUGAGUAACACGUAGGUAAUCUGCCUUUAGGUCUGACACAACCCGACGAAAGUAACGGGUCCGGGUAACUUAAAUUACUACGAAGUAGUAGUAGUCGACGACGGGCCGGUCCGUACCGAACUACGUACGGAACGAACGUUAGGUUUUAAACCGUUUAAACCCGGGUUCCCGGGGUAAACCGUAAAGUAGUAGGACCGUCCGUCGGUCCGUUCGUAGUUAAGGUUUAAGGGUUUAGGGUUCGGGGACGGGUAAAAGGUAAAACCGACCCCAAACCGAACCGUCCGUCGGCGUACUACGUAAGGUACGUCGGUUCGGUUCGUAGGAAGGGAAGGUAGUAGUACUACGACCGACCCAACCUACGGUAACGGUAACGUAGGAACGAACCGGUACCCGGUACCGAACGUACCCUUACCCGGGUAACGGGGGACGGACGACGACGUAAAGGGUAAAAGGUAAAUUUAGUUCGUCCUAACUAAGGGUAGGGGAAAAGUAAACCUUCCGUAAGGAACGACGACGAACCG